UUCACACCUCAUAUCGUGGGACACCACCCUCAAAUCUUACAC
rnacentral:rRNA from 1 species